rnacentral:rRNA from 1 species
UCGGGAAUUUUGGGCAAUGGGGGAAACUCUGACCCAGCAACGCCGCGUGAAGGAUGAAGUAUUUCGGUAUGUAAACUUCGAAAGAAUAGGAAGAAUAAAUGACGGUACUAUUUAUAAGGUCCGGCUAACUACGUGCCAGCAGCCGCGGUAAUACGUAGGGACCAAGCGUUGUUCGGAUUUACUGGGCGUAAAGGGCGCGUAGGCGGCAAUUCAAGUCAUCUGUGAAAUCUCCGGGCUUAACUCGGAACGGUCAGAUGAUACUGCUUUGCUAGAGUGUGUCAGAGGGGGGUAGAAUUCCACGUGUAGCAGUGAAAUGCGUAGAUAUGUGGAGGAAUACCGAUGGCGAAGGCAGCCCCCUGGGAUAACACUGACGCUCAUGCACGAAAGCGUGGGGAGCAAACAGGAUUAGAUACCCCCGUAGUCCCUGAGCGGGCUGGCAAGGCGCAU